UUACCAUGUGGGCCUUGGGGAAUCCAUGCAGAGCUACUGGGCAUCAGAUCCACCCUCCUCGAGCCGCUCCUCUCUUUGCAUAUUUAUGCGAUGCGGCUCAUUAUUGAAUCUAUUUGCUCUACUUAUGUGAUCAAAAGCUGGUUAGCUCCCGGGGGAACUCGCUGCCUACCUCCCCAUCCGUCUGUCUGUCUGUCUGCACAGCUGUCUGUCUGCCAUCUUCCCCGACACACCAAAUCCGCUAACAUUCAUGCAGACCUUUGUGUUGGCUUCAGUUCUUCUCCACAACACAAAUCAAUCCCUCAAAGGACUCAGAGUCUUGAAAUCAGUUCCAGGUUGCUAAUGUGUGCUGUCAGUAUCGCUCAGCAGCAGACGGAGAUAAAACUGUUUAUGGAGGAGAAAGGAGAUCGGAGGGCCUCGCUUCUCUCUUCGUGGUCCGUCUAUAUCUCAGAUCCUGAGACCGUUGUGUAUUUUGAAGAUCAGAUUUGAGAGCAUGUUUACUUCAAGUCCUCGAGGUGAGCCCCAUCUGUCAGGCCUCGCCAUGAAGUCUGAUGCGCACUUAAUUUCCUGGUUUCUUGCUUUAGAUGUUAAUAUAAAACUGGAUGUGACUCUUUGCUUUCUAAUGUUCAGCUUCAAAUAUUCGUUUUUUUAGAGCUGCUGCAGGCAAAUGUAAAGUCAGUUUUCAUUUGUUUGUCUCUCCAGCAUUAAGGGUCCAAACAACAGCAGAGAUUGUUCCACUUUUAUCCGGCCUCCUCUCCCACUGCAGUCAUUCUGUUUUAUUUUGGGUCUUUUGUGUACUGAGGGCUAUUUUUUCCUGUUUUUGUGUGUCACUGAUCAGUGAUCUGGAAAUAAGAAGAGACAUGUUAUUUUGGUUUGCAGUUGAUUGCACACACAGUGCCUCCUCACUAAAUCAAAUUCACAUGCACCCCCCUCCCCUUUUUUUUUCUUUCUGCAAAUAUCCCAUUCGACUCUGAAUUCUACGAAAGGCAGCUCCUCUUCCUUCACAAGAAGAGGGCGUGUCUUGUGUUUGACAGAAUUGGAUCUCCUGGCUUUUUUCAGCAUCUGUUGCUGCUGAAACACCUGAACCUAAACUCCUCUUCAGCUGUUUAAAAAGUAACAUGAAGAGUUUGUUUGACAGGAAUUAACUGGAAACAUGUUGAAGGUUCGGCAAAUCUGCUCAGUGAAGAGGAAAAACUGUUUCCGUGAGGAGUACUUCUUACAAGCCAUGAAACAAAGUGGAGGGUUGGGACUCAAGUCCUCAUUUUUAGGUCUAUAUCAUUUAUUUUUAAAUCAAUUUAUUUUUUAAUGUCUUAAUAGCAAGGGCUGGCGCGCCUACAGUUUCGUGCAUAUGCCCGCCUGUUCAGCUGCGGUUCCUGCCAGGAUGUCUAAAGAGGUGUCACGAAUCAUUCCUAUUUUUUGCUCUCCAAGACUUUACAGCGAAUGCAGCACGAACAGUGCGUAAUCUAGCAACCACCGAGGAGCAGACAGGGACAAAAUAAAACUUUAACAGGCUCUGUCCAGCAUGCGUGUGAAAAGUGGAAGAUCUUUACAGACACAAACUCCCUGAAAAAUUCCCAAAAUUACUCAGAGCCCAGCCCAAAAUCAACCACAGAGGAGCUCAUUGGGAGCCUGCUACACCAAAGGAUCUGGAUCACUACAAAAUGUCUGAAUUACCAUCAUGACAAUCAUCAGUCUUGGUUGUUUACUUGAAAAAAAGGAGAGGAUCCAGAUCCUGCUGGUACACGGCAAGAUGGAUCAUAGACAACUUGAGCAAGAGUUGCCGUAUAGUUAUAGUAGUUUCAACUUUGUAUGUAGAUAUACUGAUGCUUUGUUCAUGUUUUAUACUGUAUCUGGUUUAAAAUGUCAUCUUUAGUAAGCGAUGAUUGUAAACCAUGUUUUAUAUGCUGUGUAGUGGACAUAAAGGGUUUAGAUAACAGCUUUUAUUUGACUUGGAUAGAGAGGUCUGACCAUGUUUGCUUCUAUUAAUGUCAAACAGAUUCAAUGUUGUUGAAUUUAUCACAUUUUUCCCGACAAACCACUCUGUCUGCAUCUGCCAAAUUUUCCAAAUGAACCUUUUUUGCAAUAAUUGAGGAUAGCACAGCAGUGUUUACAGAUAUCAUACAUACUGGGAGUUCAGAGGGAAACCUUUGAGUUUGCGUUAAAUCGCUUUCAUAGCCGGUGAGAAAUGGUCAUAAGUUUAUUGACCUUAUCUGACAUGUCUGCUUUUCAUUUACCUGACCUCAUUAAUACUCAUAUCACUGAACAACAGCGUCACUGUGUCAUGCACUUUGCUGUAAACCACCCACAGGUGAAAUUCAUUUCUUAUAACAAAUCUGCAGAGCAUUCAGCUCCGGCCACCUUUUAAAAAGGAGAAGGUAGGGUCUUUAUUCCUGGUACUGGUCAACCGAGGCUCCAACCAACCAGUUUUGACUCCUUACUUUAGAGAAGAGCUGUAAUUGCCAAAGCAUCAGCUUCAGGUUUCCACACUGCAAAUGUUAUGCCUUUAUAAUAAAUGAUAUAAUGAGUAAUGGCGCCUCCUUCUUCUCACAGAUUUCAGCUCCUUCAAAACACAUCCAGUGACCCGCUUUGUUGCGCCCCUUCCCCCCUUCUCUCGCCUUUCCCUGCCUUCGUGAACGUGGCUCCGUGCUGCUGGAUAUUUAAAGACAUCAAAUGCAUGCAGGCCCCGGACAAUUAGUGGGGACUGUUGCUGGGUAAUUAGUUAAGAGGAAGAAAGCCUCCAAUUUCUCCUGCACCCCCUGGGGAGCCCCUCUGCUCACACACAGACAUCCAUGCACAAAACCUCACUCGAAGCACAAACACACUCACAUGGACACACAAAGACGUGGAGAGGUCCUGAGAAACACAAAUAAGAGGAAAAAGCUCUGAAAAUAAAAUGAUCACUGUGUGGUUGUUGUUUGAGAGCAAGAAGCUAGUUUAGGGAAGAAUUAAAGGAGGAAAACCAGUUAUAAAGAGAAAAGUAACGGAGGUACCAAGAACUAGCUGAACAUAAAGGGGUAAAGACACUUUCCUCCAAGUGUUUUCAGCAUCACAACCCACAUUUACACUUUCUCUGACUGAUUCAUUUUCAAUUUAAAUAAAAGAUAUUUUGACGGGAAGAAAGAAUAAUUAGAAUUGAUAUUGUGGCGAAAAAUGUGUUUCGAAUUUUUACUUCUUCAUUACAAAAAGUGCAAAAAGUCACAUUCAUGUAUCCUAAACUCCAAGUCGACUACAUGAAGCUCGAUUUAACCAAAAGACUCUGAGUCUUAAAGGGAUAUUCCAGUGAAAAAUUAAUUUAGAGUCAAACACACCAUAACACCGAGUUAGACACCCCCUCAAGAGAUGACUGUUGCUGACCGCUUGCUUCUCUAGUUAUACCGACUUUAGUAACGACCGCACGAUAGCAAUACACAGAGGUCUGAGGAGCCAUAAACAAACCUCAACCAAAACGUCACUCUAUAGCCACAAAUAAUGCUCAGAACAGCGCCGAACUUCAUCAACAGGACAUAUAGGGUCACAGACAUAGUACUAGACACCAAACAUCUUUUUAGCUUUGACUCAUUUCUUUAGCAAAGAGACUAAACACAACUCACCUACUCUCUUCCAGUAGCCGCUCGUUUGUAGGAGACCUCGGGCCAGUCCAUUACAGUCUACAGCGGGGUGACGCAGCUCAAGGAAGAACAUUUAUGGCUGUCGUAGAAGCAACUUCUACACACACAUUUCCACCAGCAAGAAGAUAAGAUUGACUAAAAAAUUGUGCAAAUUAGGCGAUGACGUCAUCUAGCGACUUCUACAACAGCCACUAGCAACUUUCCUUACUGAGGAGUUGGCAACGCUGGUGGAAACGUGUCAGUCACACAACUCCACGUGAUACCUGUUUGUUACUGGCACGCUGUGACUGACACGUUUCCACCAGCGUUGCCAACUCCUCAGAAAGGAAAGUUGCUAGCGGCUGUCGUGGAAGUCGCUAGAUGACCUCAUCGCCUAAUUUGAACAAUUUUUUAGUCAAUCUUAUCUUCUUGCAGAUAAACAGUUUGUUUAAAGGACAAAAACAAUUUUCACUGUGACUGGUUGUCUAACCAGAGAAGAGCCAAAUAUUUUAUCUUGUCAUUAUUCGUCAGAGCGUUUAUGAAGAGAGAUUUCGCCAUCACUUUGCUCAUCAUUCCUCUUUAGUCAUGAAAAAUAAGUUCGUCAACAAAUCCUUGCUGUCAGCAUUUUCGUUGACUAAAUCAACACCGUGUUGGCAGUACAGAAGCGCACAUUAAACCAAUUAUCUGCACACGCAGAUUAAAGUGCAUAUCCAGAUGAGGACAAGGACGGUGAAGGUUGUCAUCAAAACACCCGAGUGAGCUGAUUCGUACAAGGGUGCAGAGAUGCUGAAGGACACAGCAGCUCGUCCUCUGGAUCCAAAUCAACUUUACUGACUUUUGGGUGACACCCUCUGCGAUCUAAUGUAGUUAAGCAUAGUGUGUUUGUGCGCAUGUGUGUGUUUGUGUUGGUAUAAUUGAAGUGUGUACAGCUAGUUUUUGUCCUAAGUAAUUCAUGAGCGCUCGCUGAGGUGAAGUGGCGGCUGAGUGACGGCGAGGAACACCUCAGAGCUUCUCCCUGCUGCAGUAUUCAUCACAACGCCCUUUCUCUCAAAUUCAUUAUUCAUGUUUCUUUACAGGCCGUCUUGUCCAAGUCGUCACCCGGGUGCCUCACGAUGGGGACUUUGUUCUUCUAGACACUCAAUCAUCACCUGCAGUCUCCCACUGUUCCCAUCUCCAAAUCUCUCUCUCGUCUCCUGUUCCUUCCUGCCCUGUAAUCUCUUCCCUCCCUG
rnacentral:lncRNA from 1 species